UCGGAACUAAAAAUUAUUAACCGGCCUCUUUGAUUAGUAUGGAUCGCAGCACACUCGUAUUGAUCUUGGGAGCGGCGCUUGUCCUGCUAGCCGCACAGAUAUCUGCUGAAUACGACAUCAGCCAUCAUCUUGUCAAGCGGACACUUCCCUUGUGCAGUCCGAACGAUCACCCUAAUCCAUCGAAAUGCAAAGGUCCCAGAAAGAACCAAUGCACCGCCAGCAGUGACAGUUGCCCGGGAGGGAAAUGCUGUUUGCGAGAUUGCGGCCUGG